GACAUCCAAUUGACCAUCUUUUAAUCGAGAUUUUGCCUUCGGGUACAAUUGAGACAGGUGGUGCAUGGUUGUCGUCAGCUCGUGUCGUGAGAUGUUGGGUUAAGUCCCGUAACGAGCGCAGCCCUUGUCCUUAGUUACCAGCACGUUAUGGUGGGCACUCUAAGGAGACUGCCGGUGACAAACCGGAGGAAGGUGGGGAUGACGUCAAGUCAUCAUGGCCCUUACGGCCUGGGCUACACACGUGCUACAAUGGUCGGUACAAAGGGUUGCCAAGCCGCGAGGUGGAGCUAAUCCCAUAAAACCGAUCGUAGUCCGGAUCGCAGUCUGCAACUCGACUGCGUGAAGUCGGAAUCGUUAGUAAUCGUGAAUCAGAAUGUCACGGUGAAUACGUUCCCGGGCCUU
rnacentral:rRNA from 1 species